CAAGGGAUAAGGCUAAAAACGGCGAGUGAAGCGGCAAAAGCUCAAAUUUGAAAUCUAGCACUUUCAGUGUUCGAGUUGUAAUUUGAAGAAGGUAACUUUGGAAUUGGCUCUUGUCUAUGUUCCUUGGAACAGGACGUCACAGAGGGUGAGAAUCCCGUGCGAUGAGAUGUCCAAUUCUAUGUAAAGUGCUUUCGAAGAGUCGAGUUGUUUGGGAAUGCAGCUCUAAGUGGGUGGUAAAUUCCAUCUAAAGCUAAAUAUUGGCGAGAGACCGAUAGCGAACAAGUACAGUGAUGGAAAGAUGAAAAGAACUUUGAAAAGAGAGUGAAAAAGUACGUGAAAUUGUUGAAAGGGAAGGGCUUGAGAUCAGACUUGGUAUUUUGUGUUCCUUAUUCUUUUUGGAUUUGGUUCCUCACAGCUUACCGGGCCAGCAUCGGUUUGGAUGGUAGGAUAAUGACAUUGGAAUGUAGCUUUGCUUCGGUGAAGUGUUAUAGACUUUGUUGAUACUGCCUAUCUAGACCGAGGACUGCGUCUUUGACUAGGAUGCUGGCGUAAUGAUCUUAAGCCGCCCGUCUUGAACACCGGACCAA
rnacentral:rRNA from 1 species